rnacentral:rRNA from 1 species
AUUGAACGCUGGCGGCAGGCUUAACACAUGCAAGUCGAGCGGGCGAGGUUGCUUCGGUAACUGAGCUAGCGGCGGACGGGUGAGUAAUGCUUAGGAAUCUGCCUAUUAGUGGGGGACAACAUUCCGAAAGGGAUGCUAAUACCGCAUACGCCCUACGGGGGAAAGCAGGGGAUCUUCGGACCUUGCGCUAAUAGAUGAGCCUAAGUCGGAUUAGCUAGUUGGUGGGGUAAAGGCCUACCAAGGCGACGAUCUGUAGCGGGUCUGAGAGGAUGAUCCGCCACACUGGGACUGAGACACGGCCCAGACUCCUACGGGAGGCAGCAGUGGGGAAUAUUGGACAAUGGGGGGAACCCUGAUCCAGCCAUGCCGCGUGUGUGAAGAAGGCCUUUUGGUUGUAAAGCACUUUAAGCGAGGAGGAGGCGCUCUAGGUUAAUACCCUAGAUGCGUGGACGUUACUCGCAGAAUAAGCACCGGCUAACUCUGUGCCAGCCGCCGCGGUAAUAC